GAUCAUUACACAAAUAUGAAGGCGGGCUGGAACCUCUCGGGGGUUACAGCCUUGCUGAAUUAUUCACCCUUGUCUUUUGCGUACUUCUUGUUUCCUUGGUGGGUUCGCCCACCACUAGGACAAACAUAAACCUUUUGUAAUUGCAAUCAGCGUCAGUAACAAAUUAAUAAUUACAACUUUCAACAACGGAUCUCUUGGUUCUGGCAUCGAUGAAGAACGCAGCGAAAUGCGAUAAGUAGUGUGAAUUGCAGAAUUCAGUGAAUCAUCGAAUCUUUGAACGCACAUUGCGCCCUUUGGUAUUCCAAAGGGCAUGCCUGUUCGAGCGUCAUUUGUACCCUCAAGCUUUGCUUGGUGUUGGGCGUCUUGUCUCUAGCUUUGCUGGAGACUCGCCUUAAAGUAAUUGGCAGCCGGCCUACUGGUUUCGGAGCGCAGCACAAGUCGCACUCUCUAUCAGCAAAGGUCUAGCAUCCAUUAAGCCUUUUUUCAACUUUUGACCUCGGAUCAGGUAGGGAUACCCGCUGAACUUAAGCAU
rnacentral:rRNA from 1 species